rnacentral:rRNA from 1 species
AGUGAACGCUGGCGGCGGGCCUAAUACAUGCAAGUCGAACGAACAGACAGUGAGCUUUCGCCUCUACCGUUAGCGGCUGACGGGUGGGUGACGCGUACAUCACCUUCCUAUAUUACGUGGGUGACUUCGUGAAACCGCUUCCGCUAACGGAUCAUACGUCCUACCGCUUAGUUCAGUAGUUAUUCAGGGCUUGCCUGUCACUUUGAGCCGGUGUCGCAUUAGCUAGUUGGCGUGGUAAGGGCACACCAAGGCGACGCUGCGUAGCUGACCUGAGAGGAUGAUCGGCCACACUGGAACUGAGACACGGUCCAGACUCCUACGGGAGGCAGCAGUAGGGAAUAUUGCGCAAUGGGCGCAAGCCUGACGGAGCCAUGCCGCGUGAGUGAUGAAGGUCUUCGGAUUGUAAAACUCUGUUAUUAGGGAAGAAAAAAAGCGUAAGUAACUAUCCACGUCUUGACGGUACCUAAACAGAAAGCACCGGCUAACUACGUG